rnacentral:rRNA from 1 species
UACGGGGGGGGCAAGCGUUGUUCGGAAUUACUGGGCGUAAAGGGCGCGUAGGCGGCCUGCUAAGUCGGACGUGAAAUCCCUCGGCUCAACCGGGGAACUGCGUCCGAUACUGGUGGGCUCGAAUCCGGGAGAGGGAUGUGGAAUUCCAGGUGUAGCGGUGAAAUGCGUAGAUAUCUGGAGGAACACCGGUGGCGAAGGCGGCAUCCUGGACCGGUACUGACGCUGAGGUGCGAAAGCGUGGGGAGCAAACAGG